GACAGAGGGUGCUAGCGUUGUUCGGAAUGACUGGGCGUAAAGGGCGCGUAGGCGGCUAAUCAAGUCAGAUGUGAAAGCCCCGGGCUUAACCUGGGAUGUGCAUUUGAUACUGGUUGGCUGGAGUACGAGAGAGGAAAGUGGAAUUCCUAGUGUAGAGGUGAAAUUCGUAGAUAUUAGGAGGAACACCAGAGGCGAAGGCGGCUUUCUGGCUCGUAACUGACGCUGAGGCGCGAAAGCGUGGGGAGCAAACAGG
rnacentral:rRNA from 1 species